GAUGAACGCUGGCGGCGUGCCUAAUACAUGCAAGUCGAGCGAACAGACGAGGAGCUUGCUCCUCUGACGUUAGCGGCGGACGGGUGAGUAACACGUGGAUAACCUACCUAUAAGACUGGGAUAACUUCGGGAAACCGGAGCAAUACCGGAUAAUAUAUUGAACCGCAUGGUUCAAUAGUGAAAGACGGUUUUGCUGUCACUUAUAGAUGGAUCCGCGCCGCAUUAGCUAGUUGGUAAGGUAACGGCUUACCAAGGCAACGAUGCGUAGCCGACCUGAGAGGGUGAUCGGCCACACUGGAACUGAGACACGGUCCAGACUCCUACGGGAGGCAGCAGUAGGGAAUCUUCCGCAAUGGGCGAAAGCCUGACGGAGCAACGCCGCGUGAGUGAUGAAGGUCUUCGGAUCGUAAAACUCUGUUAUUAGGGAAGAACAAAUGUGUAAGUAACUAUGCACGUCUUGACGGUACCUAAUCAGAAAGCCACGGCUAACUACGUG
rnacentral:rRNA from 1 species